UCGGGAAUUUUGCUCAAUGGGCGAAAGCCUGAAGCAGCAACGCCGCGUGAGGGAUGAAGGCCUUCGGGUUGUAAACCUCUUUUCUGAGGGACGAUGAUGACGGUACCUCAGGAAUAAGCCACGGCUAACUACGUGCCAGCAGCCGCGGUAAUACGUAGGUGGCAAGCGUUGUCCGGAUUUACUGGGCGUAAAGAGCGCGCAGGCGGUUUGAUAAGUCGAAUGUGAAAUCCCCGGCUCAACUGGGGAGCGUCAUUCGAUACUGUCUGACUUGAAGGCAGGAGAGGGAAGCGGAAUUCCCGGUGUAGUGGUGAAAUGCGUAGAUAUCGGGAGGAACACCAGUGGCGAAGGCGGCUUCCUGGCCUGUUCUUGACGCUGAGGCGCGAAAGCCAGGGGAGCAAACGGG
rnacentral:rRNA from 1 species